GACGGGGUGCUGAUACACCGAAAACCGGUGGUUGGCUGAGAUUGCAGUGCGGAACCCGCAACCUGAUCCGGAUAAUGCCGGCGUAGGGAUUAAGA
rnacentral:ncRNA from 1 species